GAUGAACGCUGGCGGCGUGCUUAACACAUGCAAGUCGAACGGGAAUUACUUUAUUGAAACUUCGGUCGAUUUAAUUUAAUUCUAGUGGCGGACGGGUGAGUAACGCGUGGGUAACCUGCCUUGUACAGGGGGAUAACAGUCAGAAAUGACUGCUAAUACCGCAUAAGCGCACAGGACCGCAUGGUCCGGUGUGAAAAACUCCGGUGGUAUAAGAUGGACCCGCGUUGGAUUAGCUAGUUGGUGAGGUAACGGCCCACCAAGGCGACGAUCCAUAGCCGGCCUGAGAGGGUGAACGGCCACAUUGGGACUGAGACACGGCCCAGACUCCUACGGGAGGCAGCAGUGGGGAAUAUUGCACAAUGGGGGAAACCCUGAUGCAGCGACGCCGCGUGAAGGAAGAAGUAUCUCGGUAUGUAAACUUCUAUCAGCAGGGAAGAAAAUGACGGUACCUGACUAAGAAGCCCCGGCUAA
rnacentral:rRNA from 1 species